rnacentral:rRNA from 1 species
GAUGAACGCUAGCGGCAGGCCUAACACAUGCAAGUCGAGGGAGAGGUUACCUUCGGGUAACCAAAACCGGCGCACGGGUGCGUAACGCGUAUACAAUCUGCCUUUCACAUAGGGAUAGCCCGAAGAAAUUUGGAUUAAUACCUAAUGGUAUAUAAGAGCGGCAUCGUUUUUAUAUUAAAGCUACGGUGGUGAAAGAUGAGUAUGCGUUCUAUUAGCUAGUUGGAGAGGUAACGGCUCCCCAAGGCGACGAUAGAUAGGGGUUCUGAGAGGGAUGUCCCCCACACUGGUACUGAGAUACGGACCAGACUCCUACGGGAGGCAGCAGUGAGGAAUAUUGGACAAUGGUCGGAAGACUGAUCCAGCCAUGCCGCGUGCAGGAUGAAGGUCCUAUGGAUUGUAAACUGCUUUUGUAAGGGAAGAAUAAGGAGUACGUGUACUUUGAUGACGGUACCUUACGAAUAAGCAUCGGCUAACUCCGUGCCAGCAGCCGCGGUAAUACGGAGGAUGCGAGCGUUAUCCGGAAUCAUUGGGUUUAAAGGGUCCGUAGGCGGGCUGAUAAGUCAGAGGUGAAAGCGCUUAGCUCAACUAAGCGACUGCCUUUGAAACUGUCAGUCUUGAAUGAUUGUGAAGUAGUUGGAAUGUGUAGUGUAGCGGUGAAAUGCUUAGAUAUUACACAGAACACCGAUAGCGAAGGCAUAUUACUAACAAUUUAUUGACGCUGAUGGACGAAAGCGUGGGGAGCGAACAGG